CCCAAUCCUGAACGUCCCUCCUCCUCACCUUCGUCCUCAGCUCGAGCCCCUUCUGCUCUAGGUUUCUGAUGCUCUAGGGUUUCUGAUCCUAGCAGGUCAUGAGAAGGAAGAGCAGGCCGCUCCCGGUGGCCUUCUCCGAGGAGCGGUGGCGCGGUGCUCGGCUGCAAGGGGAAUAUGAGGCAGAGACCAAGAAGGAGAGCCCGGCUGCAGGAUAAAGAGGAGGAGCAGAAAGUGACUUCGAAGCAAAUCAAUUUCAGCCAGAAGGAACUCAAAAUAGUGUUGGCAGGAGAUAUCACCAUAAUGCAAAAAUCUGCUGCAAGUCAAUUCAGGUUUUCUAGGUCAUUUACAAUUUACAAACCAGAUUCCAGUAGCAUUAAAUAUGGCAAAAAACAUCGAAGGAGAAGACCUUUAUCUGAAGAAACAGAUGAAGUCCGAUGGGCAUGGCCAGCAUUUUCCUACGAAGAAAACAAAUCAGGUUGCAAUGUAAUGUGCAGAGGUCCUCUUUGUCCCUGCAGUGCGUGGAGGUGGUUGGCCUCGGCCAGGUUAAGUUGUCGAUGCCAGUGAACCUCUGUAUAUGCACUCCGUUCCUAGAGUUGGUGUUCCUCAUCCCCUUAUCUGAAAAUUCAUUUAGAAUAAGGCCACUUGCGCAUCCAGUGAAGGGUUGUGAUGCCGCGGUCUGUGCAACAUUGUCAUUGUCGCCAGAGGCAUACAAGAGAAGUCCAGUCCCAAGCCGGCAUCAUGGCCUCUACUUCCAAUAGAUCCUUUUCAGGCCUAGAUUCAUUGACGCUGGAGGCUCGGUGUCACAUCCGGUGGCCAAGUCGGAAAUCAAAGCUACACAUACUGAUAAUGGAUAUGAAUGGAGAGUAUCCUUGCCAACCAGUUGUCACAGUACUCCCAGGGACGUGUUUCAAAAGGAUGGUGUGUACUGAAUAUGAGUUCAACACACUAAGGUGUACUUAUCAGUUCGGCAAAGUCACACAAAUACUGUUGCAGGUCUACCAGUACUGUAAAAUUUUAAUCCCUCCGAUCCAUAAUAUCUACUGGGUGAAUAAUCCAACUACAGUUUUUAUGGUCUAAAGUUUUCAAGGAUAUGAAUGGAGAGUAUCCUCGCCAACCAGUUGUCACAGUACUCCCAGGGACGUGUUUCAAAAGGAUGGUGUGUACUGAAUAUGAGUUCAACACACUAAGGUGUACUUAUCAGUUCGUUCUUUCUAUGAAGCAUGUCACAUUGUCUGCAAGCUCACGAGGUACAUCUCCUCCUACUUCAUCUAAGGUUGUUAGGUUGUACUCCCUGCUCCUUAUUUACUCAUUUGUUGACUAUUUAUCUCCCGGACCUUCACUGUCAAUAUUGAGGCUGCAUGCAACAGUGGCAUAGAUGUGCCUUCGACUUCUUGCACAAAAGUUGGUCAUAUAUUUCUAAAGUUUUGGGUAACUCAUAUUUUCUCACAUUCAACCUGUUGAAUCAAAUGAGAGUAGCCUGCAUGUAUAGUUCUUAGUCUUUCUAAAAUUAUCCAAUUCUCUAAUGGGGCCCUAAUAACUAGGUUGUUUUCAGAGAUAUGUACAGUGGGACCGGUGUCGGUUGGUGUCAGCUGAAACACAUGAUUAUUCACAUUAUUUUUAGCAGCUCUUAUAGUGGUACUUGCGGAUUAAUAUGGUCGGUCAUCAUAAUUUGUAGCAUUCUCUCUAUCGUGGUCAAUUGCGUCCUGAGGCUUUUUCGAUGGAUUAUUCACCAUUUUUGUUUGCAGCCUGGUUGAGUAUGUCUCCGAGCAUCCGUCCUCUCCUAGCUUUCUAAUUAUUAGCAUGUUUAUAUCUCUUGUGCAAGUUAAGAGUACCAGAUGUAGUUUGUAACCAUAUAAAUUUUGUAGCAGAUUUUACUUGUUCGGGUUCUAAUAGAAACUUGCCUAGCUUUUGAAAAAUCAUGCAUGUGUAUAUCAGUGAUCUGCAUCCAAAGUCUGUAAAGCAUAUUGGUAGCAUAAUUUAUUUUGAAGCAGUUUUCUCCAUCUUAUAGUGUAUGUUCAGGUUUUCAGCACACCAUUGGUUUUUCCUUUUCUUUUUGUCUUUUGCUUUUUAAUUGAAGAAAUAAAGAGAAAACCAAUUAUUGUCAUUUUUCGCUUCCAGCUUGUAUUUAAAUUUGGAUUACACUACCAGUGCAAUGGAAACCAGAUAUGGUAUGUCUACUUGAGAAUCGAUCACUAUUUCUGGUAUGUCACACAGCUAUCGUAGAUAAGCGAUCACUAUUUCCACUUCAUAUUUUUUUUAUGGUACGCAGAUUCUUUUAUAUAUACCUACAAGUUGUUUGAUGAGAAUUUAAUUAUGCUGCAAGGGGAUAUUCUUCUAUUUAAUGUUUAUGCCAUGUUGUGUACUCAUUUCUUUUUUAGUCAGCUCAAGUAAACGAUGAGAAGUUGAGUAGUCUGUCAGGCUGCAUCUUUGGGCAAUCACUGCAGACAGACAGCGACAACCUGAUGCAAGAUGUUAUCAAUCCCCACCCUUCUCCCUUAUUGCUCUCCCUUGUUUUCUACAGUAAUACAGAAUUUUGUAAUAUUUUGGUUCAGAAAAUUGAUCGGUUGUAUUCUGUAUAUAUAGAGGUUGAUGUAAAUUAUCGA